rnacentral:antisense_RNA from 1 species
UUUCGCGUUGGGUUUACGCGCCAUGAUCCCGUUCCCCACCGCAUGUAACAGGUGAGUUUUACCCAGGCCCGUACCGCCAUA